GCCUCGCUAGCUCAAUCGGUAGAGCGUGAGACUCUUAAGCGGAAUCUCAAGGUUGCGGGUUCGACCCCCGCGUGGGGCU
rnacentral:tRNA from 1 species